CCCCAGGAGGCCGGCGCUUGGCCGCCUUGACCAGUCCGGAGCCGCGCGCGGACGCGAGGUGGGUGGGUCUGCGGAAGCGGGUUCCUCCUCCUUUAAGGUUCGGUGACUCGUGGGCGGCCGGCCGCAGUGUCCGUGCACUUGUUUUCCGCAGAAGGUGAUUAUCGUGGCAACUCCUGUUAGUGCCUUCGCCGGGCACCCAGCACCCGGUCUCUGGCCCUUGGCACUCAGCACCCGGCACCCAGCGCUCAGCCUGCAGAGCACCUGGGCGGUCAAGCAGGACGUCUCCCGCGGGGUCUUGCGCUCUGCCAAAGAGCAGGAGCAGUGACCUUCUCGGUGGCUCUGAGGGGUAUGGGCUACCAUCAGAAAGUACAGUGGGUUCUGCUAAGCUGGCGGUCAAGCAGCAGAGACGUCGUGACACAUGGGGGACUGGAAGCCCAGACAGGGGACGCUAACAGAAAACGGACAGCAGAGAAGCAGCCCUGAAGCCCAGAGCCCACUCACCGUGGUCUGGUGACGAGGGUCCGCUCCCCGCCACGUGGCCUCCCUGCCCGCCCCCUCAGAUUACAGACUGCCAUGUCCGGACUCUUCCCCCGAGAGGCGGCCUGGAGGGGACCCUGGUGAGGCUGGAGUGGUCUCAGCCCCUGUGUUUCUGGGCCCCGCACACGCCUCUUGCUUGCCCCCAAUCCUUCUGCGACUUCCGUGAGGCCUGGGCUUCCCCGUACCCACGACUUGGCAGCUUGGGCCCUACGGUGUGAGCUGUUUCCCGCCGGUAGGACCCACGUGCCCCUGACCAGCCUUGGCCCUCGCCUGCCUCUGUCUCAGGUCCUGCCUCUGGCCCCGCCUCCCCUGGGGAUCCCGGCUCUGCCGAGUCUGGGACAGUCACUGCCACCUGUCACCUGGCAUUGUGCUGUGGCAGAGAGAAGCGUGACCACAGGAAGCACGCUCAGUCGUUCCCACCAGAAGGUUCUACUGCAGUCGGGGGUCCCCUUCCACCUCCUGAGUGGGGGACGGGCCUUGCCCUCCGCCCUCCGGCUCAGGCAGCUGUGAUAACGAGACAACAACGGUACCGCAGGUGCCCUCACGCAGAUUCCUGUAGGUCUUCCGCUGAAACCGAGGCUCUGAACCCCAACUACGAAACAUCUCCUGAGUUAAUGAGACUGACACCCCUCCCCCGCCCCCCCCCCCCCCGCCAUCCCGGAAAAUCCUGGAGAGGAGGAAACAUCCCUGGGGCUCCGGGAGCCUGGGCCCCUGCUGCCCUCCCUGGACCAGCCAGGUGAAGUCCGCCAGCUGUGACAAGAGCCCUGGCACCCGCCCGCACCUGUGUGUUCAGCUAGACGGCACAUCGUCAUACCAUAUGUGGCUCUUUGUACCUAUUUGCACGUGGACGUAAUACCACAAAUAAAACACUAAACGGGAGGAAUCAGGGAAAAACAUAGAACCCAGAAUGUUGGGGGCCACUUACGCUCCUCCGGGAAAGCAGCGGGGACACUGUGGACGUGUUAAUAUUUCUACCGCAGUGAGCCCACGUGUCAAAUGUCAAGUCUGUGUGUAAUUGUGAGAGAGAGCUAUAAAUAGAGGAAUUAUUAUAAUUCCGUCAUAAUUUGCUACUUGACCAAAAUAAACUAAUAAGAUAAAUAAACAUGGCUGCUUUUGCCCAACUGACUAAUAUGACCUGAAUAGAAAUAAAAUAUUGGAUGAGUUGGAGAUGCCAAGUUUAAGCUAGAUUAGCAACAAAAUCUCAGUGUGCCGCUUCGAUAUAAUUAACGGGAUGAUUUAAUGUGUUUUUCGCUCAGAAUCGUCGUGAGGCGUUUUUUUGCAAUAGCGUAGAAAUGAAUCCGCACGCGUCCGGGCUGCAGAGGAAUAAAAGGUUGUCAUAUUUUUGAGUCCUCUUGGCAGAGUGAUCCAUCUGGCACUGUGCAGGACAACGGAGAUGUUUUUCUUCCGAUCAUUCACAGCCAUUAUUUAAUGCGGGGUAACAGCCACAGUCUUCAUUAAUAUAUUAACCUAUGGCUCAAAAAGGCCUUGCAGUAAACCAACUGAGGACUCCUCACGACGGGUUCAUAUCAUAGGGCUUGGAGAGACUGAGCCGCGGAGACGCUGACCUCAGGGAUAAGCCCAGCGUUUGUUACCGACGGCAGAAGUGUGGCCAGCGAGUGAGGAGGGAGGUGGUCAGAACCCUCACGGAAGCCACUACACGCGGGACAGAGGGCCAGUUACAAACAUACACGAUACGGGGCGCCUGGGUGGCUCAGUCGGCUAAGCCUCCGACUCGGGCUCAGGUCAUGAUCUCGCGGUUCGUGGGUUCGAGCCCCACUCGUCGGGCUCUCUGCUGUCAACACAGAGCCCACCCUCUGUCUCCCCUCUCUGUCCCUUCCCCGCCUGCACUCGCUUGCCUUGUCUCUCUCAGAAGUAAAGAAACAUUCUUAAAAACACAUAUAUGAUACAACCUUAGAAUGCAAUACUUGGCGACCUCCGAAAGAACGUGGUAGAACCACCGUAUCUCACUGGCCUCAACUUCAGCCCCUCCAGCCUCCUGGCCUCUCUCCCACACGCAGGCCUUUCCCAGACCAAAGUUCCUGAGGCAGCACUUCCUUCAGGGAGAUCUGGAAGAGAGAGAAGGGGCGAGACCGAACACCUUCUCGGGAGGCCUCCUCUGGCCGCAAGGAUUUUUAUUUAUUUAUUUUUUAACUGCCGUGUUACGUUGAAUUCUUCCAGAAGCAAACCUUGAGUCAAGGAUUUUAAUGCUCCCAGGAGUACCAACUCUCCGCCCGUGGCUCUCCUCCCUGCCCCUGGCCGGACCAGAGAAAGACACUUGUUCCAGGAGGCCUUUGGCAGGUGCCGUGUGGAGGACACAGGGGCACCGACAAGAACCUCUUCUUACAUUUCUUUUUGAUAUUUUCUGAAAUUUGUACAUUGAACUUCUUGUAAGAAAAAGAAAAACUGUAUCCACUCAGAAAACAGCAAAAUAUACAUGCCCAUUACGUUGCCAGAGUUUCUGAAUGGAGAAGACCCUGUUUAAAUUUAGCCUGUGAUCUGAGCGAUAUUAAAGGGUUGGUCACUUUAGCCAGUGAUGACACUAAGUAGAAUUUUAUGCUAAUUGAACAUUUUUACUUCAAAAUUCAAAGUGUAGGGGCACCUGGGUGGCUCAGUUAAGCAUCAGACUUCGGCUCAGGUCAUGAUCUCACGGUCCGUGAGUUGGAGCCCCACGUCGGGCUCUGGGCUGCCAGCUCGGAGCCUGGAUCCUGCUUUGGAUUCUGUGUCUCCCUCUCUCUCUCUCUGUCCCUCCCCGGCUCACGCUCUCUCAAAAAGAAGUAAACGUUAAAAAAAAAAAAAUUCAACUUGUAUUAGUUUGCUCUGGCGUAAGCAAGAUGCAGUGUGAACAAGAUCAAGCAGCCGUGUGGGAAGCUGAGAGUUUCACCAGGACACGUGAACACAGACGUCCUGGGUCUACUGCGGGCCGGAGGCAUGGCAAACAGCGCGUCGGGAUCCAUGGGCUCGUGCGGGAACACUGAACGGAAACAAACACGGGUGUGGUGGCCCCCGCGGGGACUCGAGACUGCCUGAUGAUAAAGAAACGGCAAAGCAAAGGCGGCAGUGAGAAACCCUACACAACUAGUGAACCAGGCGUAGCUUCUGCGGAGAGGGGAAAGCGCCCGAGGAAGCCGUAAGUGCUCUAAUCCCAGAGCGUGCAGGUGCCACAUGCUGCAGACCGGGAAGCAUCUCCUGACCCAGGAGAACCCUGAACCCGGGAGAGCCUCAGAAAGAACACGAUUUGCUAAUGAAAACCAAUGACGCCUCCGAAAUACAGCCACGAGCAGAGGUGGCUUCAGCCUCUGAAAUACAACCACAAGUAGAUGUGGCUUCACGUUACUCAAACGCAAGAGCUGACCUCCGGGGCCCGCCCCCGGGAACAGAGGUUUGAUAAGGACUUUGGUAAUCAGGAAUGUGAUUGAUAACCAGGAUGAAAGCCACGGCGUUAA